rnacentral:rRNA from 1 species
ACGGGAGGCAGCAGUAGGGAAUAUUGCACAAUGGGGGAAGCCCUGAUGCAGCGACGCCGCGUGAGUGAUGAAGUAUUUCGGUACGUAAAGCUCUAUCAGCAGGGAAGAUAAUGACGGUACCUGACUAAGAAGCCCCGGCUAACUACGUGCCAGCAGCCGCGGUAAUACGUAGGGGGCAAGCGUUAUCCGGAUUUACUGGGUAUAAAGGGAGUGUAGGUGGUCUGGCAAGUCAGAUGUGAAAGCCCGCGGCUCAACCGCGGGACUGCAUUUGAAACUGUCAGACUGGAGUGCAGGAGAGGAAGGUUGAAUUCCUAGUGUAGCGGUGAAAUGCGUAGAUAUUAGGAAGAACACCAGUGGCGAAGGCGGCUUUCUGGACUGUAACUGACACUGAGGCUCGAAAGCGUGGGGAGCAAACAGGAUUAGAUACCCUGGUA